AUUGAACGCUGGCGGCAGGCCUAACACAUGCAAGUCGAACAAGUGGCGGACGGGUGAGUAAUGUCUGGGAAACUGCCUGUUGGAGGGGGAUAACUACUGGAAACGGUAGCUAAUACCGCAUACCAUCAGAUGUGCCCAGAUGGGCUUAGCUAGUUGGUGGGGUAACGGCUCACCAGGGCGACGAUCCCUAGAUGGUCUGUGAGGAUUACCAGCCACACUGGAACGUAGACACGGUCCAGACUCCUACGGUAGGCAGCAGUGGGGAAGAUUGCACAAUGGGCGCAAGCCUGAUGCAGCCAUGCCGCGUGUAUGAAGAAGGCCUUCGGGUUGGAAAGUACUUUCAGCGGGGAGGCGUUACCCGCAGAAGAAGCACCGGCUAACUCCGUGCCAGCAGCCGCGGUAAUAC
rnacentral:rRNA from 1 species